rnacentral:rRNA from 15 species
GGUGCCACCUCUGUGGUCUUGCUCGGGUGGGAAGAGGUCUCCACAGUCUUUGAGGCGUGCCGCAAGCUCGAAGCGCUGGGCCCCCGGGAGUGCAUAGAGGAGUUGGGCGCUGAGGAGAAGGGCCCACCGCGGGGGGCGGAGGCGCUGGUGAGUGACGC